GACGAACGCUGGCGGCGCGCUUAACACAUGCAAGUCGAGCGAAGCGGCGGACGGGUGAGUAACACGUGAGUAACCUGCCUUAGACAUUGGGAUAGCCUCGGGAAACAGGGAUUAAUACCAAAAGGUCUAAGAUUGACUCGCGGCCGAGUAGCGAAUUGGGAGGAAACGGCCCACCAAGGCGACGAUGAGUAGCCGGCCGGAGAGUGUGAACGGCCACAUUGGAACGGAGCAACGGUCCAAACUCUACGGGAGGCAGCAGUGGGGAAUAUUGCACAAUGGAGGGAACUCUGAUGCAGCUCCGCUGCGUGAACGAAGAAGGCUUUCGAGUCGUAAAGUUCUUUUAUAUGGGAAGCGGUACCAUAAGAAAAAGCCCCGGCUAACUACGUGCCAGCAGCCGCGGUAAUUC
rnacentral:rRNA from 1 species